rfam:Buchnera aphidicola str. APS (Acyrthosiphon pisum) genomic DNA, complete sequence.
UGUUAGCUCCAAACACUGCAAUAUUGAAUAGUUGGUCAGAUUCGGAAGGAAGCAGCCAAAUCAAUUGAUACAGGUGUUCUGAUAAAGCUAACAGAAA